AACUGAGACCUUUUGCCGCCAGCUCCCAGUAAGGUGUGAGAAUAGAGGAACAAAAUGAACUCAGGCUUUUAAGGCUUGCAUGUCUUUAUUUUGCAGCUUUACCUUGUUACUGCAAGCGAGUCGCUGGGGGAGGCCAUCACUGAGAAGUGCACCAUUGCCUCUUUUCCCUGUGAACAUCGCUCACCCCCUACGCCGAGCAGCUUAUGAGGGAGCUGAGAAUCUGAGCACAUGGGGUGAUUUUGCAGAGAGUCCUGUGCUAUGGCAACCAAAGGAGCUGCACCCUCUGGAGCUGGAGUGGGGCGGAGGGAGGAAGGAGUCCACGACUGCUGUCAGGGACCAGCCCUGCUGCAGCCGGCGCCCUGCCAGCGCGGGUGUUUAUCCAGCACUGCGAUGAGUCACGGGUGCCAUGCUCCACCAAAGCCACCUCCAGCAACCUCCCCAUGAAUCACUGCAGCCUGAGAGGACUUGCAACAAUUCCUGGGCCAUCAGAAGGAUGAUCUCAUUGCCUGCUGAGUGGAACAAGGAUAAAGUCAUGUGGAACUCUGCUCUUGGAGCCAGGAACAUGGCAUCCCAGCAAAGAGCUCUCAGGUGACCUAAUAGGGCAUGUGAUUCAGCGUUACAGGACCAAACAGGGCAAAGAUCCUUCUCUCAGGGAAGGAAGGAAGGAAGGUACUGCAAUAUACAAGGAAUUUGAGGUGACUUUCAUAACAAAACUUGUAAGGCAAGAAGGAAUGAUAUGGCACAGGAUCUACAAUAGACUUAGCUUUAAGCAAUUCCCUUUGCAUUGACUGUUUUUAUCUCCUUUUUUGAUUCUCCAAGUGGUAUUGCCUAUUCCAAGUGAUCACAACGUGAAGUCUGAUGAUGUAAUCUUUGCAUGCUGUGUCCAGCCCAUGGAGCUGAGUUACUCUGAUACUGGUUCAAACUUACUUGCCAAACCCAGCUGAAGGAUUAGCUCAAGUUUUUUUCUAGCUGAAAUAAAGUGCUUUUGCCUCUUCUAAAAAAUUAAUUUGUGGCAGUUUUCCAUUUCAAUUGGAUUCGUUGUUAUUUCUUAGAAAUUGCUGAUUCUGAGCAGGAAUCAAAUGGUCUUUUCUAAUUUCAAAUACAAAAGACAAAUAACCCUUUGUUCCUUCUUGUAAGGCAAGCUUUUAAAUGCUAUGAAAAGUGCUAGUUAUUUUAAAUGCAUGGACUUCUAAAAUCAAAACCAAUGCAUAAAAUUGAUAACUUUUAAAAAUC